rnacentral:sRNA from 2 species
AAAAGUACUUACUAGGGUUCCGUAAUCAUUUGAUUAGUCUGGACCGAGAGUAAGCCCGUAGGUAAUCAAUCCUACGUACACGGAAGGAUAAAAGCCUGGGAGAU